rnacentral:lncRNA from 1 species
UAUCUCAGGCACUGGCUGUCAUGGACACUUGGGCAGUCUCAAAAGGCAACCCAGGAAAAUCAGAGUGGAGGACAAGCUGAAGGGCACACUCCACCUAAGGACACAAGAAGAUCAUGUUUCCUGAAGUCUGCUUUGCCAGUUACCCAGUUCUGCCAGGAGACGAUACUUGGGACCCAAGCAAACCAAGCCUCAGGAGCCACUUCAUGGGAAACUGCAAAAGCCUCUGCAAAGAUGACAGGCAUUCUGCCCAGAGGUCUACAUCACAGUUGGUUCUUGAAACUUCCUUUUAUAUUUUCCUUAGCUCUUUCAAUGGAGCUGGGUUUCCCACACGGGGAGUAUCCUGUGGUGGCUAAAUGUAGGGAUCCAACGUGAAGGAACAGCUCCUCUCACGAACACUGUUGGUCUCCUGGAUGGAGAAGGAAUGUGGUGAACCCUGAGCUGACUCUCAGGGCCUUUGUUCAGAACAUUUUACUUCUGCUCAUAUGUCAUAGGACAAAGCAAAUUACAUGGCUGAGCUGGAUGCAAAUGGGGAGGGGAAGAGGACUCUUCCCACAGGGAGGGGCAUAAGUCACACAGCCAAGGCUGAUGUCAACAGGGCAGGGAUGUAUAAUCCUCCCACAGGGAGGAGUAGCUAAUAUUUUUAACAAUAUUAUAAUCCACCACAGUGACCUCGAGCAUGUCACUUGACCUCUUUGUGCCUUGGUUUUCUCAUUGUUAAAAUGGAAAUAAUAAUAGAACUUACCUCAUAGGGUUGAUAUGAGGAUUCAAACGACUUAAUUCUAGUAGAGCAUUUAAAAUCCUGCCUAGUACAUAAUAAAUGCUAGAUAAGUGGUUGUUAAAUAAAAAUAAAUAAAAUGUUUGUCCAUACAAUUGUUUCCUCUUGCUAUGGUGAAAAUCGUGUAUCCCAUGCUUUAUUAUUACAUGCCUAGAAAUGAAGAUACUUUGCCUACAGGCAUUUAAAAACAAGACAUUUCUAUUUUUAAAAGCCUGUGGCUUUAAAAUUAAGGUUUCCAAAGUUGUGUCAUUGCUUAAACUUCUUGAAAGAUGUCCCUAUCAUGGCUUGCAGUCUGAUUAGUUCUUUCUGGAAAAGAGAAGAGAUUCUGUUUGGUAGGAAUAGGACAGCAGGUGGUGGUAGCAUAAAACAGAAGAAAAGCUGCACUGUUGAAAAAGGAUGGAAACCAAAAGGUCCAAAAACCUGCUCUCAGCUGUGAUAGAAACAGCAUCGCAGAAACCCAGUUAUAUGAACUGCUGUCUGAGUGGCCACCAUAUUUGGCGGGGGAAAAAAGGAUUUCUAUUCACAUUAUGCUUUUCUUUUUUUCCCUGCUAUACUCUGAGUGCCCAGUUGUGUACUUUGACUGAAAUACUUCUCACUCGGUAUGCCUGUUAAUCCCCUCUAGCAACAUUGAACACCCACUUGGGAUUCGCUAAAAGCACUGAAAGUUGUUUUGCUCAGUCAUCUUGCUUCCUGAAUUUAAAAAGGUAACAAUUGAUCCACACCUGAAAACAAAUCAGAAAAAAAAAAAAAAAUGUAGCUAUAGACAAAAAACCUAGCCUGCUGCACACCUCUUCCAAUCCCUACCAAAAGAACAACUACUUGUGUGAAGACUGGGAGAGAAAAGAUCUGAUUUUUUUUUCUUAUAAACCCUGCCUUGCACAAAAGAGAACUUAAUAAAUGCAUAUGAUAUUAAACUUCUCAUUAAAUAUCUUACAUCUUUUAUAUGUAUAUCCUGGGAUCUCUAAGGUGCUUUCCAGUCCUGGAGAUUCUAUACUGGAUAUAAAUAUUACAUAAAGCCUCACUGCCCGAGUGAGGGCUCUCUAAUUUCUCGCUGUCUCUAACCAUUUAUGCUGUACCGUCUUAAAUUAGAAUAAAGUCACCCAUUUCACAGGUGGCUUAGCCAAAAAAGCUCAUCUUAUUUCCAGAAGUCUGUAAACUUGAUUAUAAACCACAGACCUCUUCAGCCCUGAGAGUUGAUAGCAAGGCUACAGUAACUACCAUGGCUUACAUUCAUCAAUCAUUUUUACCAUGAACCAGGCACAUGAAUUAUUUCAUUUAACCUUCCCAAUGAGUAAGAAUUAAUCAUCGCUAUUUCACAUAUGAAGAAAUGCAGUAACCAAGAAGUAAUAUAAAUUGCUCAAAGUUAGUAUAAAGUGGUGAUUGAGCACUUGGAUUCUGAAAUUAGACAGCUGGAUUGUGGAGAUUCAUUUAAUCAUUUUUUAAAAUACGAUGAAUUAUUGCUAACUAUAGUCACCCUAUUGUGCUACAAAAUACUAGAUCUUAUUCAUUCCACAUUGUUGCAAGCCCUUCCACCUCUGGCUGAGUUCCAGGAGAUUUAAAGAGCUAGCACCUAUAAAAACUUUUUUUUUGUAAUAAAAAAAUCAUUAUGACCUAGGGCUAGGUGAAGAGUUUUUAGACUUAACACUAAAAGUAUGAUCCCUAACUGAAAAGUUUGAUAUUUUUGACCUCAUAAAAAUAAAACACUUUUGCUACAUUAAAUAUUCUAUUAAGAACAAAAAAAGACAAGCUACAUAGUGGGAGAAAAUCUUUGCAAACCUGAUAGUGGAAAAGGACUGGUACCUAGACUGCAUAAAAAACUUAUAAAGCCCAACAAUGAGAAAACAACCCAAUUAAAAAAUAGGCAAAAUAUCUGAACGGAUACCUGACUAAAGAAGACAUGCUGAUGGCAAAUAAAGUGCAUGAAAAGGCAUUCAACAUCAUUAGCCAUUAGGGAAAUUCAAAUUAAAACCACAAUGAGAUAUCAAUACACGCAAAUCAAGAGGGCUAAAAUAAAAACUUGUGGCAACAACAAAUGCUGAUGAGGAUGCUGAGAAACUAGAUCACUCAUACAUUAUGUGUGGGAAUGUAAAAUCGUACAACUACUCUGGAUAAUCACUUGGCAGUUCCUUUUAAAAUUUAAGUGGGCUUACCAUAUGACUCAGAUAUUGUACUUGCCAGUGAAAACUUGUUAUCGUACAAAUUUGUACACAGAAGUUCAUAGAUGCUGUAUUUAUAAUAGCUCCAAACUGGAGAUAACUAUGACCUUAGAUGGCUAUAUGGUUAAAGAAGCUGUGGUACAUCCAUCACAUGGAAUUACUGAACUAUUAAAAGGAAUGAACUAUUGAUUCAAGCAGCAACUUGAAUGUAUCUCCAGGGAAUUAUGCUGAGUGCAAAAAAGGUAAUCUCAAAAGGGCACAUACUAUAUGAUUCAAUUCAUAAAACAUUCUUGAAAUAAUAAAAUUAUAGACAUGGGGAAUGGAUUAGUGGUUGCCAGGUGCUAGGGAUGGUGGGAGAAAUGAUAUGGGUGUGGUUAUGAAGUAGUAGCAGGAGGGAGGCCUUUGUGGUAAUGGAAUAGCUCUGUGCCUUAAUUGUGGUCAUGCUUCUAUGAAUCUACACAUCGUAAAUGAAAUAUAUAUAUACAUCAUUCAGUGUCAGCUUCUGGUUUUGAUAUUGUACUAUAAUUACAUAAGAUACAAAACAUUGGGAGAAACUGGAUGAAGGGAAUACAGGCUCUUCCUGUACAUUUUUUAUAACUUCCU